CCUACGGGUGGCAGCAGUGGGGAAUAUUGGACAAUGGGGGCAACCCUGAUCCAGCCAUGCCGCGUGUGUGAAGAAGGCCCUCGGGUUGUAAAGCACUUUCAGUGAGGAUGAACGCCUGGUGGUUAAUACCCAUCAGGAAAGACAUCACUCACAGAAGAAGCACCGGCUAACUCCGUGCCAGCAGCCGCGGUAAUACGGAGGGUGCGAGCGUUAAUCGGAAUUACUGGGCGUAAAGCGCGCGUAGGUGGCUUGAUAAGCCGGUUGUGAAAGCCCCGGGCUCAACCUGGGAACGGCAUCCGGAACUGUCAAGCUAGAGUGCAGGAGAGGAAGGUAGAAUUCCCGGUGUAGCGGUGAAAUGCGUAGAGAUCGGGAGGAAUACCAGUGGCGAAGGCGGCCUUCUGGACUGACACUGACACUGAGGUGCGAAAGCGUGGGUAGCAAACAGGAUUAGAUACCCCUGUAGUC
rnacentral:rRNA from 1 species